AUUGAACGCUGGCGGCAGGCCUAACACAUGCAAGUCGAACGAGUGGCGGACGGGUGAGUAAUGUCUGGGAAACUGCCUGAUGGAGGGGGAUCACUACUGGAAACGGUAGCUAAUACCGCAUACCAUCAGAUGUGCCCAGCUGGGAGUGGCUAGUUGGUGGGGUAACGGCUCACAAAGGCGACGAUCCAUAGCUGGGCUGAGAGGCUGACCAGCCACACUGGAACUGUGACACGGUCCAUACUCCGACGUGAGGCAGCAGUGGGGAAUAUUGCACAAUGGGCGCAAGCCUGAUGCAGCCAUGCCGCUUGUAUGAAGAAGGCCGUCGGGUUGUAAAGUACUUUCAGCGGGGAGGCGUUACCCGCAGAAGAAGCACCGGCUAACUCCGUGCCAGCCGCCGCGGUAAUUC
rnacentral:rRNA from 1 species